AAGAUGUUCUUGUUAAGGUUGGUAACUUGAUAUGUCUAUAAUUUGCAUGAUUUAGGCAUUCACUCUUCACCACUUUGUCAUUGUUUCAUCCACAUUUCAUCUCAUUAGGAGUCGUUUUAGUGUGUUUUACAUACUUAGGACGAUUUUGCAUUAGGAUUGCAUGUGCAUGGCAUAUUUGGUUGUUUUCAGGUACUUUGGAUGCUUUUGGAGUUCAAACAGAGGAAAAACAGAACAUGAAGUCAGAAUGCCCAAUGACGCCUUCAGCAAAAGUGCUCUAUCGCAGCCUCGGAGCCCUGCCAGGGCAAAUCACUCUAUCGCAACCCCGGAGAAGCAAACAGCUUAGUUUCACUCAAUCGCGAAGCCGGAGGAAUCACCCCAUCAAAACCACUCGAUCACCACUCUAUCACCAGGAAGCCUAUCUGCUCAUUCUGCACUCAACCAGACAAGCUGAGAACAAAGAAGAGAAGAGAAGCCGAAGAAACCACUCGAUCACACCCUCAUGACAUCCACUCGAUCGCACUCGAUCACAAGGUCGCUGGACCAUUCAAUCUCGACUUCACUACAUUUCACUCGAUCGCAAGACGGAGCCCCUGAAGCCCAGUUUGAUCAAUGACAUACUCGAUCACUAGGAAGCUCAUUUCUGCCCGUCAGAUGCCAAUGACAUAUUCGGUCGCAGGAUCAUGACGUGAAGAUUCGCUAUAUAUUUAGUUUCCUUAUUUGUUUUAUUUCUCGCUUAUAUAAACUGCCUCUUAGGGUUUUCCCUAGGGCGUGGGCUAUUAUCCGCUAUUAUCCGUUUUUAUCUCGCUUUUACAUUUUUGCAACUUUGAUAGCCGCAGUGUUUCUCCUGUGACUUUGUAGUUUUGUUUUCAAGUAUUUGAUAUUCAGUUUUCGUUUAAGUCAUUCGUCAUUUUUGUUAUCAUGUUUUCAAUUGUUGCUUUGUUAUUGUCUUUGAUUAUGUCUGAGUAGUGAACUGUAUUUCUGAGGAUGGGAUAGAAUAGUUGUGGUUUACUUGGUCGUUUUAGGUGGUUGAGUUUAGAAUACUAGAAUCCCUUCUUGGACGUUGAGGAAAGCUUGGAAAAGCAGAUAUGAAUCUCUGGCAGAAAAACAACUUGAUGAGAUGGAAGCUGUGAUGCCCUUAAUAGAAGUCCUCAAGUUGAUUUCAGACCCUCACAAAGAUGUGAGAAACCUGAUACUGGAAAGGCUCAACAUAUAUCAGGAUUCAGAUUACGAAGACGAUGUCAUUAUGCAUCAAGCCGCUGGUGAGAGGAUUAUUCAAGAGAAGCUGGAAGAUCCUGGAUCUUUCACUCUGCCAUGUUCCAUUAGGCAAUUGACUUUCAUCAAUUGUUUAGGUGAUCUAGGAGCCUCAGUCAGUUUAAUGCCACUCUCUGUGGCAAGGAAGCUGGGAUUCGUUCAGUACAAGCCCUGUGACAUCACCUUGAUCCUUGCUGAUAGAACUUCAGACCUUUCAGCAUUCUAGAGAACGUGCCAGUAAUGAUAGAUGGAGUUGAGGUACCCACUGAUUUUGUCGUGCUUGAAAUGGAUGAAGAGUCUAAGGAUCCGCUGAUCUUAGGAAGACCUUUCUUAGCCUCAGUGGGAGCAGUAAUAGAUGUCAGAUAUGGUAAGAUUGAUCUCAACCUUGGGAGGCAUGUCAAGUUACAGUUUGACAUCAACAAAUUUCCGACAAGGCCACCAACAGAAGGAAAAACCUUAGAGGUCCAGAGAGCGGUUCCAAGUGAAGGCCUUGAGAUCAAAAGAGCGAAGGAGCAAAUUUUGGUUCAAAG
rnacentral:sRNA from 1 species